rnacentral:lncRNA from 1 species
GUUUUCUCCACUUUGAAAAACUCGACUCCGAGUUCUCAUUCUAACAAAGAACUUCAUCUACAUGAUAUUCAUAGAUGUUUGCCACAUUGACAAAUUUAACUCUCCGGCGUUUAUCAACAACAUUUUUCAUCUAACAUGUAUCCCUCAUGGGAGGUAAAUCGUUUGAUGGCUCACCUUCAAUCAACUCUUUGAAAUCUCCUAGGUUCUCUAUCACUUGUUAUGGAAUUGAAACUUCCUUCUUCAGAACACUCAUCAGCCCUUUGCUCACCACUAGACAUAAACAUUAAGUUUCCUAAACAGAAUUAUCAAGUUCCUUUUCAUGUUCUGUUAUUACCAAGAAACUAGACUUAUUUUCUCUUGGGCUUUUAUCAAAGUGAAAAACACGAGCCAUAGCAAUCUUAUGUGUACCCCAUGUAAACAUCAUCUCAUUAUCUCCUCCCUGAUAAGUAAUAUCAUUAUCUCCUCCGAACUGGGAAGGAGUAUAAAUUCCGGUUAUUAGAGUUGGUAAUAACAUACCAUAAAUAUGAUUUGGAAUACUAUGAGCGCAAAUAUUACAAUAAACUGAAGGAUGAUUACUACAAUUUUAAAAUCUCUAAUUCGAAAUAUUGUUGCCCGUUUUGUUACAACAAAGAUUACCCUAUGAAAUUUGACUAUGGUGACAUUGGAUAUUCUUUUUUCCUUCCCACGAAGGCUUUAUAAUUCCUACAAUGGUAUCCGGGUGGCCUCUUGUUCAUUGAAGGAGAGAGCUCUUUAUCAAAAUGAGAACUCGAGGUCGAGUUCUUCAGAGGUGGAGGAGACUCAUGUAGGAAGGUUUUCUUAGUAAUUAUAUUAGUAUUUUUAUUUUAAACAAAUUUUAGUAAUUUUAUGUUUUUGUUUCAGUUUGUUAUUUUCGGCUCAUUAGGGUUUUGUUAUUUCCCUAUUUAAGCUUAACAGUUGUAGCCUAAGAGGAAACUUUUAUUCAUUAAAUAAUAUUUUAGAGAGUUUU